rnacentral:rRNA from 1 species
UACGGAGGGGGCGAGCGUUAUUCGGAAUUAUUGGGCGUAAAGAGCUCGUAGGUGGUUCGGUAAGUCGGAUGUGAAAUCUCCAGGCUCAACCUGGAGGGGUCAUUCGAUACUGCCGUGACUAGAGUUCGGUAGGGGAGUGUGGAAUUCCUGGUGGAGCGGUGAAAUGCGCAGAUAUCAGGAGGAACACCCGUAGCGAAGGCGGCACUCUGGGCCGAUACUGACACUGAGACGCGAAAGCGUGGGGAGCGAACAGG